UGGCUCAGAACGAACGCUGGCGGCAGGCUUAACACACGCAAGUCGAGCGCCCCGCAAGGGGAGCGGCAGACGGGUGAGCAACGCGUGGGAACCUACCUGAAGGUACGGAACAACUCCGGGAAACUGGAGCUAAUACCGUAUGUGCCCGAAAGGGGAAAGAUUCAUCGCCUUCAGAUGGGCCCGCGUCAGAUUAGCUAGUUGGUGGGGUAAUGGCCCACCAGGGAGACGAUCUGUAGCUGGUCUGAGAGGAUGAUCAGCCACACUGUGACUGAGACACGGACCAGACUCCUACUGCUCGCAGCAGUGGG
rnacentral:rRNA from 2 species